GUUUUGUGUGUAUAGCCGUUUCUGUGUGUAUAUGUAGUCCUGUCAUUGCUUUGAUCUCACUCUCUCUUUGGUCACUUGUGCGAUUCUCUCUGUGUCCUUGAGGACUUUCUGUGUCUUUGCUUUUUGGACAUAAUCUUUUCCUUUGUGGACCUUUUUUUUUUUAAAAUUUAAUCCUGCUUGUCUCCUGAGUCUGCAAUUGGGACCUUAUCAUGCAAAUCCUGACAAGCACAAGACUUAGUAUUUUGCUACUGGUUAUGGUUUUUGUGAUUUAUUUAUUUUGCCGAAAGUUUUUUCCCUAAAUUCUUCAACCUUUGAAUUGUACUACAGUGACAGUGUGUGCUACCUUAGAGACAUAAUUAUCUGUGGUCUUUCACACAAUUCAGUUGAUGAAAAUCAUUUUUUGUUAAAUUUUAAAUUAUUUGAUUCAUUUGCACAACCACAGUUGGGACUCAAGGUGCCCUGCAUAGCUUUACUCUAUUUCAGAGAAAGCCUUUUUAAUUAAGCUCAUAGGAGUUGAUAUCAGAAUCUCUGAGGAUAAUUGGCAUCGAUGUCUUGUGUUACGAACUGUGGAAGGUGUUUCAGCAACAAUAUCUGGUGUCCAGGUGUGUCCCCCUAGGCUUUUAUCCCUGCGUGUCGGAUGUCUUCCAGUCCAGUUGGAGGUUUUCCUCUUCUUCUAAAGCAGAUUGCUGCUUUGCUCAGCAGCCUCCCAUAGUGACUUGAUGGCUUUUCAGAAGGCCUGUUCACAAACCCUGAUUCUCUUCGGGAGCCUUGUUGUUAAUGUGGCCAAAAAUGCUCUGCAUUCCACAUCUACUGUACAGGGAACACCUCGGUACAACAGCCACGUUUUUCUGCCUUGGCUACUUUGUCUGUCUAUUUUAGCCUUUUGUGUUUGUAUGCUUCACCCACUGCAUCCUCCCAUGGUGCCACUUCUGCAAGGUUGACCACAAGAUCAGGAUCUGAGUAGUAGUUAAAUAACAAUAGACACAAAGUCCACUGCAAAUGCCGAUAGACUAUAAAUUGCAAUUAACCAGGCAUAUCCCGAACAGGUCGCCAGUUUAUUACGGGGCUAACACAGAGAGGCAGACAACCAUUCACCGACAGCCAAUUUAGAAUCACCAGUGACCCUCCCAUGCACAUCUUUGGACUGUGCGAGGAAAACAAAGGACCUGGAGAGUAUGCAAACUUCACACAGAAUUUGCUCUUGGAUCUUCUUGCUAUGAGCCCCUCCUCUAAUAACCUCAGAUGGCCAGUUUCCACUGAAGCGAGGGCAGAUCUAUUGUGCCACAGAAUGUGCUGAAGGGUUUCUGGGUCGAUGAGCUCGCACAGCUGAGAUGGAGAGAAGGAAAGAGGACAGCCAGAACAAACUGGGUUUCCUUAAACUCCUUCGGGACAACUGACAAUUUCUUCUAAGAACAUGAAUGUGAAACUUGGAAAAUGAAAAGCCGCAUCAUUUUUAGACUAAGUGCCUUGAUAAUUCUUUCUGCAAUAUGGUCAGCUGCAGAGCCAACAUUAGAACCGCAGCUGUCGCUUUAUUAGAAAACAGUGGCACAGGGUGCUCAUUGUCUCCUCGGAGCUACUUGCUCAGCAAGUUACAUCUCUGCAUAUGAACAGCUUCCUGCUCAGUGAAAUAUACAAGCCCUGAGGCAAAACACCAGCUUGACCCAAUCUUUAGCAUUAUUUUCUUAAAUGUAGUAGACAGAAAGUGUUGUAAGGAUUUCCACAAAUUAUGCACAUGACAGCAAUUAUCUCAUUAUGUCAAGUGCAGUAUCUUUUUGCUUAAUUAGACCCAUUGAAAAAUACAGUCACACAGCAAAACACUGAUGUUUCCACCUGAAAACUACCACUAACGAAGUAAAAGAGUAAUAAAACACAUUCAGAUUUUAUAUGAAAAUCAGAAAAUCCUAGAAGCAUUCCUACUGCACUCCCUGCUUUACAUCUACAUUACCUACAAUAUGAGACAUGCAGCUUUUUAAUUCCACUUGUUAAAUUGCAGCUAUGCACCACGAUUGCAAUCUCACAUUUGCUGUUAGAAGGCCUUGAUAUGAAAUGGUCUCUGAAGAAAUUGUGCCUGUAUGGUUAGCUAGCUUUGCAAGUAUUGGUGUGAACGCUUUGUUCGGCUGAUAAAGAGGAGCAGCCACAAUCCUGUGUGAAAAGCCAAUCCCUAAUCUGACCGUCCUUCACAGGUUCUAACACCUGCGGUCCAUGAUGCUGUAGAACACAUUACAGAGCUGAGUUAUUUUCUCAUAUUUGUUGACUCUGAAACUCUGACAGGCUGCUGCUGACUAAAUUAAACAGGGUUGCCUUCCUUCUGUACAGAGAUUUGCAGAUGUGUGUGUGAAAGAGAGGCAAUGCUCUGCAGGAAAGCAGAAAAAAGUCAUCAUCAAAGCAGUUUUUUGAAUUUAUUGUACGAGAAUAUUUAUUUAUAAUUGUUUUUUAAAACGUGAUAGCAUUUUGUGUUGCUGCAUUUUGAGUGUGCUGGUGGAAGGGUGAAGUGGAAGGGAGAUUUCAUUCUGGCACAUUAAGCUGUUUAUAUUGUUGCUGUGUUUGGAUCACCUACUCUGAAGAGGAAAACAU